rnacentral:tRNA from 1 species
CUUUCGAUAGUUCAGUUGGUAGAGCGGAGGACUGUAGAUCCUUAGGUCGCUGGUUCGAAUCCGGCUCGAAGGA